GAUGAACGCUGGCGGCGUGCCUAAUACAUGCAAGUCGAGCGAACGGACGAGAAUCUUGCUUCUCUGAUGUUAGCGGCGGACGGGUGAGUAACACGUGGAUAACCUACCUAUAAGACUGGGAUAACUUCGGGAAACCGUAGCUAAUACCGGAUAAUAUUUUGAACCGCAUGGUUCAAAAGUGAAAGACGGUCUUGCUGUCACUUAUAGAUGGAUCCGCGCUGCAUUAGCUAGUUGGUAAGGUAACGGCUUACCAAGGCAACGAUGCAUAGCCGACCUGAGAGGGUGAUCGGCCACACUGGAACUGAGGCACGGUCCAGACUCCUACGGGAGGCAGCAGUAGGGAAUCUUCCGCAAUGGGCGAAAGCCUGACGGAGCAACGCCGCGUGAGUGAUGAAGGUCUUCGGAUCGUAAAACUCUGUUAUUAGGGAAGAACAUAUGUGUAAGUAACUGUGCACAUCUUGACGGUACCUAAUCAGAAAGCCACGGCUAACUACGUG
rnacentral:rRNA from 1 species